rnacentral:rRNA from 1 species
AAACCCUUACCGAAAGCAAUUGGAGGGCAAGUCUGGUGCCAGCAGCCGCGGUAAUUCCAGCUCCAAUAGCGUAUAUUAAAGUUGUUGCAGUUAAAAAGCUCGUAGUUGAAGUUCUGGCUGCUUGACCCUCGAGCUCUGUAGCCGAGGGCUCAGCAGUCAUCCGCUUGCAAAUAUAUGUUCGCCUUUAACCGGGCGGCUAUAUGAGUAAGCAUUUUACCUUGAGAAAAACAGAGUGUUCCAGGCAGGUUUGUCCGGAAUGCAUUAGCAUGGAAUAAUAGAAUAUGACUGAAGUCGAUUUAUUGGUUUGAGGCUUUAGUAAUGAUUAAUAGGAACAGUCGGGGGCAUUGGUACUUGUCAGUCAGAGGUGAAAUUCUAGGAUUUGACAAAGACUAACAAAUGCGAAAGCAUUUGCCAAGGAUGUUUUCAUUAAUCAAGAACGAAAGUUAGGGGAUCAAAGACGAUCAGAUACCGUCCUAGUCUUAACUAUAAACUAUACCGACUCGGAUUCAGAUGAGUCAUAAAGUUCAUUUGGGACCGUAGGAGAAAUCAAAGUUUUUGGGUUCUGGGGGAAGUAUGGUCGCAAGGCUGAAACUUAAAGGAAUCGACGGUUUUGCACCACCAUGGAGUGGAGUCUGCGGCUUAAUUUGACUCAACACUGGGAAACUCAUCAGGGCAAGAAGAUUGUAGGAUUGACAGAUUGAGAGUUCUUUCUUGAUUGGUCUAGUGGUGGUGCAUGGCCGUUCUUAGUUGGUGGAGUGAUUUGUCUGGUUAAUUCCGUUAACGAACGAGACCUUAACCUGCUAACUAGUACACCGAUGACAAAUCGGUGAUACUUCUUAGAGGGGCUAUGUGAUGUAAUCACAUGGAAGUUUGAGGCAAUAACAGGUCUGUGAUGCCCUUAGAUGUCCUGAGCUGCACGCGUACUACAAUGGUGCUUUCAUCGAGCUUUUCCUGAUCCGAAAGGAUUUGGGUAAUCUUUUUAGUGAGCACCGUGCUUGGGAUAGAUCUUUGUAAUUAUGGAUCUUGAACUAGGAAUUCCUAGUAAGCACGUGUCAUCAGCACGUGCUGAUUACGUCCCUGCAAAAUGUACACACCGCCCGUCGCUAUUACCGAUUGAGUGUAAAGGUGAACCUUCUCGAUAGGCGCAAGCUUAGAAAUUAAGUAAACCUUCGCACUUAGAGGAAAUAAAAGUCGUAAC